GCUGGGCAUAGUGGCGCAUGCCUGUAAUCCCAGCUACUCAGGAGGCUGAGGCAGGAGAAUUGCUUGAACCCAGGAGGUGGAGGUUGCAGUGAGCCGAUAUCGUGCCACUGUACUCCAGCCUGGGUGACAGAGCACGACUCUGUCUCGA
ensembl:misc_RNA Metazoa_SRP Metazoan signal recognition particle RNA